ACGCUCGACACCUACGGGGGGCAGCAGUGGGGAAUAUUGCACAAUGGGGGGAAACCCUGAUGCAGCGACGCCGCGUGAGUGAAGAAGUAUUUCGGUAUGUAAAGCUCUAUCAGCAGGGAAGAAAAUGACGGUACCUGAGUAAGAAGCCCCGGCUAACUACGUGCCAGCAGCCGCGGUAAUCUGAGCGGGCUGGCAAGGC
rnacentral:rRNA from 1 species